rnacentral:lncRNA from 1 species
AAGGUUGAUGUUUUGGAUAUUUCCGGGAACAAGUUGACGGGGAGUGUUCCAGAGGAUAUUUGCAAGUUACCGAGCUUGUCUAGUUUCAAGUUUUCUUACAACUACUUCAGUGAGGAGCAUAUGGCUUGUAUAAAGCCUGAAAGGAAGAACAUUGUGGUGGAAGAUGCUGGUAAUUGUGUGGCUGGUCGGAUAAAGCAGAAGACAGAUAAAGAGUGCAAACAAGUGGUGAGUAACCCGGUUGAUUGUAGCAAGGACAAAUGUACUAGAGGGUCUCCACCUAAGCAAAACACACCUACGCCACAUCGUGUAUCUCCAACUGUUCCUACCAAGCCACCACCAGUACCUGAUAAAAUUGAACUAUCUCCAAAGGUUCCUAUUCGCCCACCAAAACCACCUCCAGCACCGGUUCAAUCUCUACCUCCACCAGUCCCUUCCUUACCACCACCCAUCCAAUCUCCACCACCACCAAUGCACUCACCACCACCACCCGUCCAUUCACCACCACCACCAUCGGUUCCUUCACCCCCACCACCAGUAAAAUCCCCACCCCCACCGGUACCUUCACCACCACCACCAGUUCCUUCACCCCCACCGCCAGUAAAAUCUCCACCUCCACCGGUGCCCUCACCACCACCACCACCAGUUCCUUCACCCCCACCCCCAGUAAAAUCCCCACCUCCACCGGUGCCCUCACCACCACCACCAGUUCCUUCACCCCCACCCCCAAUAAAAUCCCCACCUCCACCGGUGCCCUCACCACCACCACCAGUUCUUUCACCCCCACCACCAGUAAAAUCCCUACCUCCACCGGUGCCCUCACCACCCCCACCUGUGCCAUCUCCACCCCCACCCGUCCACUCCCCACCCCCACCUGUGCCCUCUCCACCCCCACCCGUCCAUUCCCCACCCCCACCCGUCCGUUCCCCACCCCCACCUAUCCUCUCUCCACCCCCACCGGUGCGCUCACCACCCCCACCCGUCCUUUCUCCACCCCCAC